CCGACCUUAACUCAGUUGGUAGAGCGGAGGACUGUAGAUCCUUAGGUCACUGGUUCGAAUCCGGUAGGUCGGA
rnacentral:tRNA from 1 species